GGACAACACUCUGGAGAACAAUGGAAGGGAUUGUACCGAAGAAGUAACUUACCUGCCAUACACGCGAAGACUGGUAAGCAAUCUUUCAGGUGAAAGGACAGAGGCAGAUAA
rnacentral:ncRNA from 2 species